UGUUUCAAUAUGUCUCCUUUAUUGUAUAGACACAGCGAGAGGGCUUUGAGCCAGCCCAUUCAGCCUGGGCUUCCCAUAGGAUUACAUAUCUAAAUAUAUGGAAGUAAAAGUGGCCCGGGCAGCCACCAGAGCCACUGUGUCUGAGUCUGAGUGUCCUGGUCGCAGAGAACCCAGCUGAGAGGUCAGGCGUCGAGCGAGUAGGUGCCAUGGUGUGGGAUACCGUCAUGUCUGCCUGGUGAGGUGAGGGAGGGAGACGGGAGAGGAGAUGGAAAAUGGCCCUUGCUGUUUGCACCAUGUGGAGAGGACACCUAGCCAGUCUCCAUAUCCUCAGGGCUCCUGGGGUCAGGACAUUAAAGCUAGGGGUGAGAUAGCUGUCCCUCUCUGACUGGAGCUCUUUGAUGACGUGAGGGAAGCCUUUGUGUGUGUGUAAUAGCCAGUAGGACCCGGAAAAACAGGCCCUUUCUGCCCACUAAAAGCCUUUGUUGUCUGGUAUGUGUGGAGAUGGGGUGGUGGAGGGUUAAGGCGUCCGCAUGCUGUCCAUCCGGAACAGUUUGUGCACAUAAUAUGGAAACAUUUUGUGCCGUUAUAGUUAACCUUUUUUUUAAUUACUGUUUGUGCAUACAAUAUCUUUUCUAGAGGCAGCCCGAAAUUCGGUUGCCGAAGUCUAUGCCCCUUCGGUAGUGAUUGGUCAACUGUAGGAGCAAAGAUUCAACCCGAAACCCAUUGUGGAUUCAAAAUGCCAAAUGACAAUGACUAAAAUAGUUGGUGGGGGUUCUUGCAGGAAUAUAACUGCCCAACUGAAUCAUUUGGAUUUGAAUUUGAAAGGACAACAGGUGCAGGAACUUAACUGAAAAAUGUAAAGAUCUCAAUUUAAGGUAUGUUUUGUCCCUUGUAUGAUCUAAAUUGAUAUUGUUUUAUGAUCAUACCAUCUAUCAUUUAAUAUUUGUGGAAAUCUUUUUUUUUAAAUGGACCCAAUUCAAUGGACAUCAAUCAACAAAGAGAUAUACAGACGAGGAGGCAUACCAAGGUAUUUCUAUUGGUAUUGGUAUGUUAUGCAGAUCACAUUUAACAUCCUCCUCCCUUACCUCUUCAAUAAACAUCCCAUAGGCCUCUACAUUGUGGACAAGGUACGUGUAUGAAAAACAUCAAAAGUGUUUUUCACGUUUAAAACAAAAACCAAGGUAUGAAUACUGUCGUGUGCAUGUUUUGUUAAUCAUCUGUAUAAUUACUAUUUUUUAACAGACUUCACCCUCCCUACACCUCUGACUAAUAUAACAGGAAACCUGUUUGAUCACCAUGCACUGCAAAAUCAUUAUGGUUAUGAACACAUUAACAUCAACACGUCAGAGGAUAAACCCACUGGACUUGGGGCUCUUCUGGGACUUUACCUCAUAUUGAGAUUUUUUAAUUCUGCUUUGCCACUAAAAUCAUAAUAAACACUGACAACUAAAAUAUUGUAUUAUUGUUGUUAUGUGUAUUAUUCAUAAUAAUAUUAAUAGUGGAAGGGGGGGGGGGGGUAGUUAAAAAAUGUAUCCCUAAAGGUUCUUCAAAAGGUUCUUAAAGGGUCCAUUUAAAGGGGUUAUUUGAAGAACUUAUAGGGGUUCCCCCACAGUUUCAGUUUAAAGAACCCCUAAAGUAUCCUCCAGGAACCUUUACGUUUUAGAGUGUAAGAUUCUAGCAUGUAAAGGCACUGCUCUCCAAAAGACUCUUCUCUAAUCCCUCUCCCUCUUCUCAUCCUUUCCACAAGGCCCUGACACCUAUAGCUGAUUUCAUGGAUGACCUAUCGCCAAAACUAUCACCAGAUGCAUGAGUUCGUGCAUGACUUCAAGAAGAGGACAUGGACCAAACGACUGGGAACACAGUGAAAUGAACAACUUGUUCUGUUGUUGUUCAGAUAUCUCAGGAGUCCAGCCUGGUCUCAUAGACUAGACGUAACAUAGUAAAUGUUCAUCCGGGCCACUGAAAUGUGUAUGAUAUGUCACGUUUGGUUUGGUUACACAAAACAGAUGGUUACUUAAGGCAAAAAAAAGAAAGCAGGGUGGUUGGUCGGACAUAUUAACGCGAACAUGUAGCAAUUGUGAGUUUGAAUCUCAUCAUGGACAACUUUUGCAUUUUAGCUAAUUAGCAACUUUUCAUCUACUUACUACUUUUUGCUACUUUGCAACUACUUAGCACGUUAACUAGCCCUUCCCCUAACCUUAACCUUAACCCUUUUAGCGAAUAUACCAUAUGAAACUUAACAUAUCAUAUUAAAUGGAGCGUGCCAGAUUUACGUACAGAAUAAUACGAAAUGCUCCGAGACCAGGUUGAGGAAUCAGGGGAUUGUCACGUACGUCGUAUGAAUCGGACCAAGGCACAGCGUGGUAUUUGUACAUUAUUUGAUUAAGAAUGAACACUGAACAAACUAACCGAAACAAAAACGACACGUGAAGCUAUACAAAUGAGUGCUGACAGGCAACUA